CUGUCACUUGGAUUUUUGCCGGCUCUCACGGAUGCAGUGCCUAGUGCUAGCUCUGCGUGACUUUGCCACGCAGACUUCGGGAGGUCCCCUGUACGAAUCAUUGCGAUGUGGACGCCGUUUGUCGUGUUGCUUGUUUGGCACGCAAAUCGUAUUGUUCUGUCUGGAGUCGGGAUGACGAAGGGCAAGAAUGAAGUGUCCGGGGCAUGGUUGCGUACAUGCGGAAUGCCUCUCUGAUCGUAUGAGCAGCGAUUUCCGGCUCGCGUCCUGCGAAGGCCCGCCCGUUUGGGUUGGUGCUGGAGCUGACGCGUCGGCUCUCGUUUAAGACGUGC
rnacentral:misc_RNA from 1 species